rnacentral:rRNA from 1 species
UACGUAGGGGGCAAGCGUUGUCCGGAAUCAUUGGGCGUAAAGAGCGCGUAGGCGGCCCUUUAAGUCCGCUGUGAAAGUCAAGGGCUCAACCCUUGAAUGCCGGUGGAUACUGCAGGGCUAGAGUCCGGAAGAGGCGAGUGGAAUUCCUGGUGUAGCGGUGAAAUGCGCAGAUAUCAGGAGGAACACCGGUGGCGAAGGCGGGUCUCUGGGCCGAUACUGACGCUGAGGAGCGAAAGCGUGGGGAGCGAACAGG